ensembl:lncRNA
GUGAGUUUCUCUGUGAGUUUCCCAUCACGUCGUAGCUACUCGGUGCUUGUUGGAAGUUUAGGGGUUUUUUCGCUGUAAAAAGAAGUUUUCUUCCCACGCACAGCGGACACUAAUGUUUUUGUCACUUUUUAUGGAAUCAAACUCAAAGUAAGGACUCGGCACCCCCCAAAUGGUCUGCUGACCAUGUUAACAACUGCUCAUCUGACCUGAACCCAAUCCAGAAUUUGUGGGAUAUUGUCAAGAGGAAGAUAAGAAACCCAAAAAUACAGAUGGGUUGAAGGCUACUUUCAAGGAACCUGGACUUCAGUAACAGCUCAGCAGUCCCACAAGCUAACUGCUACAUGCCGCAUGACUUUGAUAGAGUAAUUUGUCAUGAAGGAGCCCCAACAAAAAAACUUUCAGAAGCUGGACGUUUCUUCCAAAUCCUUUUUUGAUUGGUCUUAGAAAUAUGUUCUAAUAACAUGCUGGAUUUCACGUAAUCAUGGGAUAUAUAAUAAUAACAAUGACAACAAAAGUUCCAAUCCUCUAAGUUGCCUCUAACAGCUUGAGUGUUGAUUUCUGUGCCAAAGACUCAAUUUUCUGUGAAAACCCAAAGGUCCUGACAUUGAUGCUCCCUCCUGUGUGCCAUGCCUCACUCCUCACUUCUACUUUCUCACAACUGUGUAAGUAAAAGACACACUAGAACAGGGAUGGGGAACUCCAGGCUUCAAGGGUCAGUGUCCUGCAGGUUUUGGAUGUGUCCUUCAUCCAACACAGCUGGUUUAAAUGUCCUGAAGUUCUCCAGAGGCCUGGUGAUGAACUAAUCAUUUGAUUCAGGUGUGUUGACCCAGGGUGAGAUCUGUCCCUCAAGGACACCUUCCCUCGAGGCCUGGAGUUCCACACCCCUGCCAAGAAGAUUACAAAUGAAGUCCACUACAUCAACAAUCGAUCAGCUCACAGCACAGUCAAUCAACACAAACACCAAACAAACAGAAAAGAAAACAGGUCUGUCUUCAGAUAGUAGCUAUGGUGAAGGGCUCACUGCCAACCUGAAGAAGUGUGUAGAUGGACAGCGUUAGGUACCUGGAUUGCCACUUGCACAGAGAGGUCUAUAUUUUCUUACAGGACAAAAAUUUACCCUAAUCCAGUCUCUAAGAGAUGAUGUGAUGAAUCCUGCUUCCGGGUCCAGACUACUCAGCGUUUAAUAAGGCUCUUGUGUUUUUAACAUGUUUUAAUGCUCUGUAUCUUGUUCUAUUUAAUCUGAACAAGCCCCUAAAGCAGUCAGUGAUCACUGUCGGCCUCUCUCGGUUUUUAUUAACCCUGUUCAUUUUAAAGCUCAGUUUUUAAACCCUUCCGAUGUAACUGCAGCCCAGCCCAUGCAGCAGUAUGUUAUGACUAACCUCGUAUUGUGGAUGGAUUAGGAUGACCAUGUUUUGAUUUCCAAAAACGAGGACACUUAGCUCAGUCAUGAAGAAACAUAUUUAACAUAUUUAAACCAUGCCUUCUCUGUGAGGUUAAUGAAUUGUGAAAUAAAAUAUGUCAUAUUGUGGCGGACCACCAGGUGUCUUCACUCACACCCAAGUUGAAGGGAAGUGCUGGGGUGGAGAUUUUGGCGCUUACUGUAUGUGAAGUUCUACAGAGUCAGUUAAUAAAGCUGGAAUGAGAC